AUUCUUGACAGGAGCCACAGGAGCUGAAAUCAGAAGAGAAUCUCACCAGAGAUUAGUACCCGUAUCUCAACAGUGGCUGAGAGAAUUCUGAUUAUGACCUAGGCUGAUUUAUGCUUCUGAACACACCUGGCUAGCCUCAACCGUGAAUUCUGUGUCUACAGAGAGGUGGCAUAAUGGGAGUACAAACACGCAUGGAUUUAUGAAACUGCAUUUGAUAUCCAAGCAAGGCAAGGAGCCCUGCUGAAUUCAGGAAGAAGUCCUGGAGAGGUGCUGCCUCCUUCCAAGAUGUCGGGGUAGUAUUUAAUUUCCUUUUCAUCUUUUUUCAGUUUUUGUUUUGUUUUGUGAAGUACUUGUUUUAUAAGUUAGGAUCCUGGGAUGCCUGCCAUAUUGGCGGAUGUUUCAAUCUGAAUUACACUUGGGACUUGUAUGACUGUCUUGUCUUCUGGGCUGGGAUUUGUACAUCUUUAUUGGUUUUUAUAACAGUUGUCUCUUGUACAUAAUGAAGUGAUACAAGAAACAGUAUGUACAGCCUUGAGUCUGGAGCUUGACACUAUAUUUCUACUAACAGAACACCAAUGGCAUACUGUAAUACAAAAUCCCUAGUACUGAUACUGACAUGAAGCUCACACCAUCCCUCCCAGUAGCAAAAUCCAUUAGUGGAGCUGUGACUGGUUGUGUGUUGUAUUAAAGGCUGAAAGCUCUUUAUUCAGUGAAGAGGUGGAGCAGCUUCAUUUCCCAUCAUAUUUUGCUGAGGACAAGAAUUGAAUGAUGCUUCACAAGCAGCAAUUUCACAGGUUCUCUAGAUGAAGAGUCUUGCUUUUGUUAUCUUUAAUUGUGACUAACAAUUCUAUGCUCUGUUUAUGAGGUACAGCAAUUACUUGCCAGUGAUUUUGUUUAUUUUCUAUUCAUUGUGCUUGGCACUGACUAGGUGAAAAUGAGAACGUAUUGUUACGAUGCUUGUAGACAUUCCUAAAUUCAAAUCAAGAGAGAAGAAUCUAUUGAAGAUGAUCAGAGACCUACCAUUUUUUCAAGUCCUAGGGAUGGAAGGGUUGACAACAACUCUGAUGGAGCCCUGUUAAAUCAGGUUUCAAGCAUGCUCUGCUCUCCCAGUCCUACCCCUCCCCUGAGUGAAGUUUGCAUUCAUACUGCUAUUACAAGCAAAUAUGUAUGGAGGGAGGUAUUACACGAUAAGAAUGGGAAGUGUACAACGACUUCACAGGGUUGCAUUCUGGCACUGUUUUCUUGAACCUAUUCAUGCUUUUCAGCUCCUGUUCAAAGACAAAGACUUCAUAGCUAUUAUCACUCUUCACUGACUAUGCUGUAAUAUAAGCUUUAUUUUAGCCUUUCUUUCUAUUCACUUGAUUCCAAAGUUAUUUUUUCCCUCUAUGCAAACUAGUCAGAUUAUUUUCUGUGAGUAUUCCAGUUCAGUGGCAUAUUCCAAAAGGCUAUCUUCCUGAAGGAUAGGUAUGCAAGAAGAAAACAUCACAAUCAUAGAAACAGAGUUAUGACAGAAGAAGAAAAUGUGAAAGAUGUCUGUUAUAUAAGCAGCAAUACUUCAUAAUCAAGUAUUAUUUUCUUCUGUUUCUGAAUAUGCUAUUUUAUUUCAGUAAAUUCACCUAUUCACUGCUGGGCUUUUUGUAUUUAUAUGUAUAAAGAUGUAUAUAUAUAUGCAUUGUGUGUGUGUCUGUAUACUUAUACAUGUAGGGGGGUAUAUAGAGAGAGAUAUAUGCUACAGUUUGCUUUAAGGUAAAUUUAUGGUAGUUGUUGAUAGAUGAAGCACUAAAAAUAGGGAAAUUGUUAUAUAAAGGAACAGAAUUUCUAAUGGUUCUGUAAGGCAAUAAUAAAGAAGCUUGUAUUGUCUUUCUAUUUCAUAGAAAAAUCCAUGACUGUGCAUCUAAUAAACUCAUGAAAGCUGGGACACUAAAGUGGUGGAAUGCAUUGACAAUGAAUGCAGCCUUCUUUCAACUGGUGAUGGAUUUUCUGUAGAUGGUAUCAGCAGGCGCAGCAGAAAUGAGAUGCCGCGUAUUCCUUCCCUAGAAGAAACUGCAUCUUCUGACUUUGGCGCCUGAAAUUUUUGACUCUUUUUUGUGUGCUUGCUAGUCUGGUGAUGUUAUCACUUUCACAAGAGCUUUUGUUUAGGGCUGUUUUUUCUGCCCUUCUCUCAAUUUUCACACCACCCCCCACUCCAAGCCCCAGCUUUGGCUGAAUGUAAAUCAAAUUUUGUGAUUGCCAAGAGCAAACCUAUACAUAAGCAUAACCAAAGCAAAACUUCAUCUAAAUGUUAAACAAAAUCUCUGGUCUAACCCAGAGUUAUGCUCAGUCAUUCCCUCUGGGGUUGUCCAGUUAGCAGCAGUGUGCCAGUUUUCCUUCAUAUGGCAACCACAGUGACAGCAAUCUGGUACACAAGCAUCCAGGAAGGUUAUGGCAACACCGUCCUCAGCACAUGUCAAUUAGCCAUACCUUUUUAUGUAGUUUUGCUGAGCUCUUUGUUGACAUGACUACUGUUGGUUCACAGAUAGCUUUUAAGUCUACUUUGGGUAUGUAUUAAAUAGCAGCCACCAUAUGACUGCACUUUAAACAUAACUUCAAAUACUGUCAGCAGUCUUGUACUGAAAGGGUCUUGCUGCUCUCCCAUCUUCCAGGGGAGAUCAGUGAAAAGGAGGCAAGGUCACAGAGAGGGAACAUCUUGCCUUAUGACCAGGGAGGAUGUAUACUUCAGUCCUUUACAAGCAAGCUUCCUCAUAAAACCUGUUUAAAUGCUCUGUAAGUCCAGAUUCAAAGACUUAGUUAUGAUUAAGGCCCUCAUCUACUAUUAAACAUCCACUGACUAAGUGGACACCUGGAAGAAUCUGAAAAGCCAGAAUCUGAAAGCAAAUAGUACUUUUCCAUGGAUAAUACCUUUGAUUCGAGUAUUUGCAUCCUACUUCACUAUUUGAUCAUUUGCAGGCUCUGACCCAGAUGGGCUUGAAGGACUCUUUCCCAAGAGAUAGCCUUUUCCUUCUCUGUGAUUAACUGUCAAAAAAUAUAUCAGGCUUUUCUCCCACGUUGCCUAGUCAUCUCUCUAAAAUACUAGACUAAAAGUUAGCAAUGUACUAAAGACAAGAUUUCUAGUAAAAUAAAAAUGUAUUUUAUCAGAAAAAGGUUGAAAGAGAUAAAAAGUAAACCAGAGUCCAUUCCAAGCCUUUACAUUUUGAAAACAUUGAUGAAAUACUUUUUCACUGUUUUACCAGCACUACUUUCAAGCUUCCUUCCCACGCUGUUGUGCAAGUUACUUGCAGAGUACACAGAGAUACAAAUCUUCACGAAGCCUGACUCCUAGUAUCUCUGACAAAUGCUCAUGCUGUGAAAGAAGAGGCAUUCGGCUGCCCUGGAUUAAGCAGGCUGUCAGACAUGCCCAGAGAAGUUACGAUGAAAAGAAGCUUCUUCAAAACUUUGUUUAAAGUGAGGGCUGUUAAUCAAGGCCUUGGUGCUCUCAUUAGAGAGGGGAGGAACCAUUUAAAGUCAGGAAGCUGCAGUAUAUGAAAGUCAUGAAAUUGAAAUGAAUGCAUCUUUUGCCAGCUGGUUUCACACCCCCAGUUGGCAAUCCACAAAGGUUUAGAGGGGGAAUUAAAUCCAUUUUUCAGCAGAAAUAACUAUUUUUGUGAUUAUCAUAUAGAUUCCAUGAGCUACACUUUGGUCCUAUCAAGACAGGCAGGCAGCUGCAUGAGAGGUGGAAAGAGAGAAAAUGAGAUAAAAUCACCACCAACAGAUACUGCAGGCAGGAAGGCAGCGUUGGAUCCCAGCCACAAUACUUCUGCAACCUGGUUUGAAUAGGCCUGAUGGGAUGCCAUAAUGUAACCUACACUAAACAAGGGAGGGGGCUCAAAAUCUAUGUUCACAGGCUGAGAGCAGGUGUCUGUGAUGAGAUCCCAUGCUGUGACAUGCAUGCAGCACAUUCUUACAUGAAAAUCCCUGGCUGAUGAAAUGACCACAAGAAGACAACAUGGAACCCUUACGGCAUGAUCAGAAGAAGCUUAAUUAAGCUCUGUGGUUAAUUUUAAAGACUUUUUGUCAGAAGCAUAGCGAGGAACUUCAGGCUGGCUUUCAAAAGUGCAGAACAUCCAAAACUCCUACUGAAGUCUCCAAGAAUUACAGGUUUUUAUACAGCACAGACAGGUAUGACUCUUGGAGCAAACAUGGAACCAUGACGGGAUAGUCCGGGCAAUGCAAUGCGUCACAUUAGAAGCCAGAUGAAGUCCUGCCCAUCUCUCACACCAGACCAACAUGCUGUCAUUGGAUCUGUUUCUUCUCACUUCUUUGAUGCUGCUGCUCUAAUCCUUACAUUGAAAUACAGCUAUGAGCUGAUUCUUGGAGAGAUCACUCAUAACUCAUCACUUAAGUGAGUCUAGCUGCUCUUAGGUUCACUGGUGUCAAUAGGCUUGUUUCAGGGUUGUCAGCUUAUGCUCAUGGGGCAAAUGGUGACAAAGUCCUGACUUCUCACUGCUUGUUUUUGCAAUAUCUAUGUUGUUAUGACAUCUGUUGUAAAACCAGGAUGAUACAUAAAUGUGGAAGUCAUUCCUAUAAAUCAGAAAGCAAGAUAGCAGACAAUGAAGUGCAGAGGAUUAUGUGUAUAUCACACAGGGAAUACAUUGCAUUAAUUACAGACAAACAUACAUUUCUUGGGUUUUGUCUUUUGGAAUGAGAACGAAGGGGACAAAUCAACAGAACAGGGAUACCCCAGUGAAACUUCACUGAAGUCAAUAGUGUUACACCAGGGAUACAUUUGGCUGAUUCUUUUGCUAACGGCUGUAUGAAAGCCUUAAUAUAGACUUUCUGCAUGUGUGAAGUGUAUGCCAAGACAAAUGCAAUGUG